UAUUAGAAAUGGACGAAAGUCUGAUCUAGCAACACCGCGUGUGCGAAGAAGGCCUUCGGGUCGUAAAGCACUUUUUGGAAGGAAUAGGAAGGAAUGUACUUCCAGAAUAAGUCUCGGCUAACUACGUGCCAGCAGCCGUGGUAACACGUAGGAGGCAAACGUUAUCCGGAUUUACUGGGCGUAAAGCGCGUGUAGGUGGUACUGUAAGUAGGGCGUGAAAGCUCCUGGCUCAACUGGGAGAGGCCGUUCUAAACUACAGAACUAGAGGAUGGUAGAGGGAGGUGGAAUUCCAGGUGUAGCGGUGGCAUGCGCAGAUAUCUGGAGGAACACCGGUGGCGAAGGCGGCCUCCUGGACCAUUCCUGACACUCAGACGCGAAAGCUAGGGUAGCAAACG
rnacentral:rRNA from 1 species